UACGGGGGGGGCAAGCGUUGUUCGGAAUUACUGGGCGUAAAGGGUUUGUAGGUGGCUCCUUAAGUCACACGUGAAAUCCCUCAGCUUAACUGGGGAACUGCGUGUGAGACUGAGAAGCUUGAGGACAGGAGAGGAACGCGGAAUUCCAGGUGUAGCGGUGAAAUGCGUAGAUAUCUGGAGGAACACCGGUGGCGAAGGCGGCGUUCUGGACUGUUUCUGACACUGAGGAACGAAAGCCAGGGGAGCAAACGGG
rnacentral:rRNA from 1 species